ACAUCCUUGGUGGGACGGAGCAGGAAGGCUGGAGAUUUCAUCAAGCUACUCACAGCAGCAUGCCAUUUAAAAUUCAUGAAUUAUUUAUUUCUGGAAUUUUCCGUUUAAUAUUUUUGGACCACAAUUGACCUCAGGUAACUGAAACUAUGGGUAAGGGGGCCUACUAUAUUAUAUUUGGGAGUUGCAUUUCUGAUCAAGGACUAAGCAGCAAAUAAACCUAACAAUCAUACAUAUGACCUGUAGGUGUUAUAGAGAAACAAUUUUACUUUAGAGUAGAUAUAUUUAUAAAAUAGAAAUUCAACAGCUAUAAAAUUUCAUUAUAAUUUAAAAGUCUUUUUUAUUUUUUUGAGACAGAGUCUCACUUUGUAACCCAGGCUGGAGUGCAGUGGUACGAUCUCAGCUCACUGCAACCUCCACCUCCCGGGUUCAAGUGAUUCUCCUGCCUCAGCCUCCUGAGUACCUGGGAUUACAGGCAUGCGCCAUCACAACCAGCUAACUUUUGUAUUUUUAGUAGAGAUGGGGUUUCACUAUGUUGGCCGGGCUGUUCUCGAACUGCUGACCUCAAGUGAUCCAGCCACCUCGGCCUCCCAAAGUGCUGGGAUUACAGGUAUGAGCCACCAUGUCAGGACAUAAUUUAAAAUAGUCUUAUGCAAUGCACACUGAUUCUGUAAGAAACCCCAACUAUGCUGUGUCAUUAGUUUUACCUUCCAUAAAUAAUAGAAUUUUAGAAACUUGAUUUUGUUGUUGUUGUUUCUUUUUGUUGUUUGCCUUCCUUUCCUGAGCUUUGAGGAGCUCUGGUGGAGAGCAGGGAAUGGAGGUGGCAGGAGGGGAAAUGAGUUGAUGCCUUUUUUAUCUUAUGACAAAUAUUCCUGCUAGGUUCUAAAAUCAUUCAAACUACUCUCAAAAUUGCAUUUGUCUGUUUCAAGAAGUCAUGGCAUCCAAAUAGUUGAAGACCUCUUUGAGUAUUUUCAUUCUGCACACUUGUAGGGCGGGGAUUCUUGAGUUGGAUUUGUCUGGUCCACUUUCUUAGCAGGUUUGUUUUCCUCUUUCUUCUUCCCAUUAAACAACAGUGGGUUACAUUUAAGGUAAAGAAAUUGGAUCACAGAGUGUCCGAGGGCUGUGGGAAGGAGGGAGAUAGUGGCCUUUGCACGUCUGCUUUGAGGAUAAUUUUGUGUAUUUUUCGAAAAACCGUUCCGUUUAUUUUUUAGCACUAGGUGGUAAAGACUUAGUUCCCACAAGCCUCCCUGAGUUGGUUCCUAGUUCUGGCAGCAGUGGCCUCUCAGGAAGUUACUAGAAACUUCAAAACAGCCAAAAGAGAGUCCUGAGUGUUCUUCAGUGAAGUACUAGGUUUAAUUUUC
rnacentral:lncRNA from 1 species